CAGAAACGACUAUAUAUUAUAAUUUUUGAAGUUUCUGCUUCACGCCAAAUCAAGUGCCAACACAAAGGGAGCUGAGUAUUGAAUGUUGAAUGCAGGAUAGCGGCGGACGGGUGAGUAACGCGUGGGCAACCUGCCUCAUACAGGGGGAUAACACAGGGAAACUUGUGCUAAUACCGCAUAAUAUCAUUGGGUGGCAUCACCUGAUGAUCAAAGGAGCAAUCCGGUAUGAGAUGGGCCCGCGUCCGAUUAGCUAGUUGGUGAGGUAACGGCUCACCAAGGCGACGAUCGGUAGCCGAACUGAGAGGUUGAUCGGCCACAUUGGGACUGAGACACGGCCCAGACUCCUACGGGAGGCAGCAGUGGGGAAUAUUGCGCAAUGGGGGAAACCCUGACGCAGCAACGCCGCGUGAAGGAAGAAGGCCUUCGGGUUGUAAACUUCUUUGAUUGGGGACGAAGGAAGUGACGGUACCCAAAAAACAAGCCACGGCUAACUACGUG
rnacentral:rRNA from 1 species